UUUUACAAAGCACAAGUUUUUAAUUUUAAGGAACUCCAGCUUAUCAAUUCUUUUUUUCUAGUAUUACACUUUUAAUAUUAUAUCUAAAAAAUCAUUGCAAAAUCCAAAGUCAUCUGGAUUUUCUCCUAAAUUUCCUUGUUGAAGUUUGAUAGCUUUGUGCUUUACGUUUAUGUUUGUGAUACAUUCUGAAUUCAUUUUUGUAAAGGACAUAACGUCUAUGUAUAGAUUCAUUUUUUAAAACAUAGUUAUUCAAUUGUUCCAGCACCAUUUCUUGAAAAGACUAUCUUUUCUCCUUUUUGCCUUGUUCUUUUGUAUAUUUGUGUGGUCUGUUUCUGAGCUCUCUAGUCUGUUCCACUGAUGGAUUUGUCUCUUUUGCACAUACCACAGUCUUGAUAACUGUAGCUUUGCAGUAAAUAUUCAAGUCAGAUAGUGUUAAUCUUCCAACUUUUUUCUUCUUCCAUAUUGUAUUGACCAUUCUGGAUUUUUUGUCUCUUCAUAAAAACUUUACAAUCAGUUUUUCCAUAUCCACAAAAAAAAAACUUGCUUGGAUUUUGACUGAAAUUGAAGAUCAAUUUGGGAAGAAUUGACCUCACGACAAUAUUGAGUCUUUAUCCAUGAACAUGGAAUAUCACUUUGUUUAGUUCUUUGAUUUCAUUCAUUGGAAUUUUGUUUAGGCACCUUUUUUCUCUUCAUUGUUAUGGCUUAAUAUGUUACAUGUUGGCUCAAUUAGGACUAUUUGGGAUUUUUCUAAUUUUUUUUUUUUCAUAUAACAGGCUUGAAGGUGGUAUUCUUGGUGUGAAUUCAGAGUUAGUUGAUAUGCCUAUCUCUCAGUCACAGGGUCCAGGGCUAAACUUUCACAAGUCACCAGCUUUACUCCUAAACUAACCCACGUGGUAGAGAAGGAAUUCUUUAGACAGAAAAUGAAGUAUGAUUACCAAAAGAAAGAUGAAUAAAUGCUGGAGAACAAAAAUGUCAGGUACUCUUCUACAUGUUUUAUCAAAAUCACAUUGUAUUUCAGACAUAUCUUAAAUUAACAUUCCACCCUAAAUAUUAGUAAUAUCUAAAAUGCAGUACCCUGAAUACCACUCUGAAAAUCAAUCUGUUUUCUAAAUUGCAUCAGUUUUCAUUUGCUUUGUAACACAUUUGCAAUCUAGCUUGACCUUAAUUACUUUGAUGAACUGCUAUUGGCCUUUUUUCAUUCUUCAUAAUCCUUAAUGCCUUUCCUUGAUAAUAUGGGCCACCAUCUCUUUGAAAAUUUCCCCUAUAAUGGUCAUAUGCCUCUGUACUAGUCUGACGUUUUUUCUGCCUGUCUUGAGAUUUCUCCUUUCUUCUUCAGUAGCUUCUCUUCUUUUUACCUCCAGCAUGCACAUAUGCUGCAAGUUCUUUUUAUAGGUCCAUUCUUUUCUUUUUCAAUAUUUUCUUUUUCUGGAAUUAUGUAUUUUUUACAAGUUUAAUUUUCACCUCUUUUUCCAGAUGAUUCUCAAGUCACUCUCUUUCUAGUCUUUCUACUAAUAUCUACUUUCUCCAUAACUCAAGGUUCUUAUUUCUGACUAGCUGCUGCACAUGGCUACCAAUACAUGUCGUUCUCAUUAUAUACAAAACUUGAACUCAUUUUCCUCUCUAAGUGUCUUUAUUCCCUAUUUUUGUUAUUUAACACAACUCUUCUCCUCACAGUAACUCAAGCACAGAAUGUUGGAAUCAUCUCUUAAGCUAUCCUCUCAUUUACUAUGAAUAUUCAACAGAUUAUCUAAUCUUUUAUAUUCUAGUCCUAAUAUGUAUCUUACAUAUUUCUAUCCCCAUGCUUAUCGCUCAUUAAAUUUGUGUCUUGCCCAACUCUUGGACAAGAUACAACUAAUUCAAAUCCUUGCUUUCAUAUUCUCUAUAUUCAGUUUCACUGCCAUAUAGGUUUUCUUUCUAGUGUAUGACUCCCUGCGCAAAAUUCCACAAUAGUGCUUCGUUAUUUUCUAAGUGAAUAAGAUGAUUAGCCAUGAAUGGAAGGCUAUCUGACAUAUGGCCAUAGCAUCCUUUUUCAGUCCUGCUCCCAGGAUUCCCCUACAUGUCCACUUUGCUCUAGUAAUACUGAACCAAUGGCCACUCCCUGAUUAUGCCUUCGCUUCUCUCCUUCCUUGCUUUAUUCUGUCCUACCAGCUUUCCUUUCUUCUUCUCUCCUUAACUACUUAAUCCUACAGACUAUGCAAGAUUGAACUCAAAUACUCUUAUACCUUUAGUCACAAGAGAUGAACUGCCCUGUCAAUUUGUUUCUCUUUCUUUCUUGUUGCAAAUAACCUUAUUUAUUCUGCUUUAUGUUAGUUAUAGUUGUUUAAGGACUUAUUCUUUCUACUAGGUUACAUACAGAUGUCUUGACUACUGUUCUAUUUUCAUCUUCAUAACCUCUGUAACAGCUGUUAGUUCUACAAUAAGAACUUUUUAAUUUAUUUGGUUGUUAUUUUCAUACUUUAUUUUUUUAUUCAUAAAGAAUCUUACAGGUGUGUCUCCAUUUCACAUUAUAUGACAUUUAAUUAGUUCCUUUUUUUUCAUUUAUCUUGUUAGAGAAAAAUGCUUUAAGCAAACUAGAAUGUAAAAUAAAACAUUUAAAAAUACUGUUAGUGUAAAUUUUGAUUUAUCAUUUAGACUUUCACUUUACAUAUGAUGACCCUUAAACUUUUCUAUUAAAUAAUUAAUCUACUUAAAUUUUACCUUUAAGUUAAAAUCUUGAAUUAUUUAUAUGAAUGUAAAAAUGAUAUCAACUAAACUGCGAUUCUAAACAAAAUAACCGAAUAAUAGAAAGCUGUGGGAUAAAAAUGGAGAAAUACAUUAAAAUUUCUUUGGGGCCCCGACUUUAUUGCUUAUGGCAAACUUGAUAGUAAAAUGUACCGUACAUCACUGCAGUGACAGGCUUGAGAAAAUGAAAAAUCCAAAGCUUUACAUAAAUCAAUCAGAAUAUCAUAUUAAAAUGUAUAACCUUUAACAGAAAAAUCAGACUUUUACUUGCAACUACCCAGAAGGCUUUUUCUUCCUUAUGAGGUUGUUUUAGAUUUUCAGACAGCUUUGUGGAAAAUAGUAUUUUAAAUUAAUUAUUGGCAAAGCAAUUGUGUAUAUAGAAAGACAAAGUUCACAGGAAUUUAACCUCAAUUUUAUUAAUGUUCCCUACUUUCACUUAGUAUUUAAUUGUGCUUUUGUUGAAAUAAUUUCCUAAGUACUAAUGUAUCCUAUAAUCAGCACUUAAGUUCGUUUUUUGUUGAAAUAAUUUCAUGGGACAAUUACGUAUUUUAUAUAAUAAUAAAAGCACACACUUUUAAAAGUUGUAACUUUUAAAAACAUCAUCAGUCUGACAGCCCAUUCUUGGCUCUUUCAUUUUAUUUUGCUUUAUUUGAGAUAUAUCAUCAAAGGUCUUGAAAAACUUUAUAAUGUUUAGCCAUCUCUGUAUUUUUAUUCUUCUCUUCAAUCCAGCAUAUAUCUUGAAUACCUACUCUGUUUAAAAAAACUACUAGGUCUACAUGGAAUCUACUAUAAAGGCUGAGGAGCAGAAAAGUGAUUUGGCAAGAUGGAGCAAGGUAUUUACCGGUCUGAAACCUAAUGCUGUAAAACUAAAUGAUACAACUUGGGGCUUGAAUGGGUGCUGGGCUGUAGGUACUACUGGGUCACUGUUGCUAUAAAUGGUCACUGGAACAGAUUAAUAAAUCAAGGUUUAUUAAUCAGUUUCACCCAUAGUUAGAGGACUACUUGACUCAUUUCUGUCUCUAGUAAAUGGACUUUGGUAGUAGCAACACCAUACCGUGAUGAUAUCAUUUGUGUCGGGAAUCAAACUGGGCGACGCAAGGAUGGUUUCGGUUUUUGAAGCCUAAAUCUAUGGAAGACUUACCAGUUUGGGAGAGGAUAAUAAUAAAAGUAACAAUCAAUGCUUCCAAACUCCAAUUGAGUCUCUUUUUUAGCUUUUAUAUUUACUUAGUUGUUAUGCUAACCAAUUCAGCUUUUUACUGUUGCUGUUGUUAAGAAAUAAAAUUUCUGAUUGCUGUUUUCAUAAA